rnacentral:piRNA from 1 species
UGGGCUCCGUGCCAGGAAGCGUAGGUC